UUGGAGGGCAAGUCUGGUGCCAGCAGCCGCGGUAAUUCCAGCUCCAAUAGCGUAUAUUAAAGUUGUUGCAGUUAAAAAGCUCGUAGUUGAAUUUCGGGGUUAGUAGGUUGGUCGUGCCUCAGGUAUGUACUGAUCUCACUGAUUCCUCCUUCCUGAUGAACCGUAAUGCCAUUAAUUUGGUGUUACGGGGAAAUCUGGACUGUUACUUUGAAAAAAUUAGAGUGUUUAAAGCAGGCUAACGCUUGAAUACAUUAGCAUGGAAUAAUGAAAUAGGACGUUCGAUCCUAUUUUGUUGGUUUCUAGGAUUGAUGUAAUGAUUAAUAGGGAUAGUUGGGGGCAUUAGUAUUCAAUUGUCAGAGGUGAAAUUCUUGGAUUUAUUGAAGACUAACUACUGCGAAAGCAUUUGCCAAGGAUGUUUUCAUUAAUCAAGAAUGAAAGUUAGGGGAUCGAAGACGAUCAGAUACCGUCGUAGUCUUAACCAUAAACUAUGCCGACUAGGGAUCGGAUGAUGUUAAUUUUUUAAUGACUCAUUCGGCGCCUUACGGGAAAC
rnacentral:rRNA from 1 species